rnacentral:rRNA from 3 species
GGGUUGUGAGGUUAAGCGACUAAGCGUACACGGUGGAUGCCCUGGCAGUCAGAGGCGAUGAAGGACGUGCUAAUCUGCGAUAAGCGCCGGUAAGGUGAUAUGAACCGUUAUAACCGGCGAUUUCCGAAUGGGGAAACCCAGUGUGAUUCGUCACACUAUCAUUAACUGAAUCCAUAGGUUAAUGAGGCGAACCGGGGGAACUGAAACAUCUAAGUACCCCGAGGAAAAGAAAUCAACCGAGAUUCCCCCAGUAGCGGCGAGCGAACGGGGAGGAGCCCAGAGCCUGAAUCAGCAUGUGUGUUAGUGGAAGCGUCUGGAAAGGCGCGCGAUACAGGGUGACAGCCCCGUACACAAAAGCGCAUGUGCUGUGAGCUCGAUGAGUAGGGCGGGACACGUGGUAUCCUGUCUGAAUAUGGGGGGACCAUCCUCCAAGGCUAAAUACUCCUGACUGACCGAUAGUGAACCAGUACCGUGAGGGAAAGGCGAAAAGAACCCCGGCGAGGGGAGUGAAAAAGAACCUGAAACCGUGUACGUACAAGCAGUGGGAGCACAGGUUUACCUGUGUGACUGCGUACCUUUUGUAUAAUGGGUCAGCGACUUAUAUUCUGUAGCAAGGUUAACCGUAUAGGGGAGCCGGAGGGAAACCGAGUCUUAACCGGGCGUUAAGUUGCAGGGUAUAGACCCGAAACCCGGUGAUCUAGCCAUGGGCAGGUUGAAGGUUGGGUAACACUAACUGGAGGACCGAACCGACUAAUGUUGAAAAAUUAGCGGAUGACCUGUGGCUGGGGGUGAAAGGCCAAUCAAACCGGGAGAUAGCUGGUUCUCCCCGAAAGCUAUUUAGGUAGCGCCUCGUGAAUUCAUCUCCGGGGGUAGAGCACUGUUUCGGCUAGGGGGCCAUCCCGGCUUACCAACCCGAUGCAAACUGCGAAUACCGGAGAAUGUUAUCACGGGAGACACACGGCGGGUGCUAACGUCCGUCGUGAAGAGGGAAACAACCCAGACCGCCAGCUAAGGUCCCAAAGUCAUGGUUAAGUGGGAAACGAUGUGGGAAGGCCCAGACAGCCAGGAUGUUGGCUUAGAAGCAGCCAUCAUUUAAAGAAAGCGUAAUAGCUCACUGGUCGAGUCGGCCUGCGCGGAAGAUGUAACGGGGCUAAACCAUGCACCGAAGCUGCGGCAGCGACACUCAGGUGUUGUUGGGUAGGGGAGCGUUCUGUAAGCCUGUGAAGGUGGCCUGUGAGGGUUGCUGGAGGUAUCAGAAGUGCGAAUGCUGACAUAAGUAACGAUAAAGCGGGUGAAAAGCCCGCUCGCCGGAAGACCAAGGGUUCCUGUCCAACGUUAAUCGGGGCAGGGUGAGUCGACCCCUAAGGCGAGGCCGAAAGGCGUAGUCGAUGGGAAACGGGUUAAUAUUCCCGUACUUGGUGUUACUGCGAAGGGGGGGACGGAGAAGGCUAUGUUGGCCGGGCGACGGUUGUCCCGGUUUAAGCGUGUAGGUGUGUGUUCCAGGUAAAUCCGGUUCACUUUAACACUGAGGCGUGACGACGAGGCACUACGGUGCUGAAGCAACAAAUGCCCUGCUUCCAGGAAAAGCCUCUAAGCAUCAGGUAACAUCAAAUCGUACCCCAAACCGACACAGGUGGUCAGGUAGAGAAUACCAAGGCGCUUGAGAGAACUCGGGUGAAGGAACUAGGCAAAAUGGUGCCGUAACUUCGGGAGAAGGCACGCUGACACGUAGGUGAAGUGAUUUACUCAUGGAGCUGAAGUCAGUCGAAGAUACCAGCUGGCUGCAACUGUUUAUUAAAAACACAGCACUGUGCAAACACGAAAGUGGACGUAUACGGUGUGACGCCUGCCCGGUGCCGGAAGGUUAAUUGAUGGGGU